rnacentral:rRNA from 1 species
CCUACGGGAGGCAGCAGUGGGGAAUAUUGCACAAUGGGGGAAACCCUGAUGCAGCGACGCCGCGUGAGUGAAGAAGCGUUUCGGCGCGUAAAGCUCUGUCAGCGGGGAAGAAACACGGUUCGCGAGAGCCGUGGACGGUACCCGACCAAGAAGCCCCGGCUAACUACGUGCCAGCAGCCGCGGUAAUACGUAGGGGGCAAGCGUUAUCCGGAUUCACUGGGUGUAAAGGGAGAGUAGGCGGCAAGGUAAGCGAUAUGUGAAAGCCUUAGGCUUAACCUGAGGAUUGCAUAACGAACUAUCUAGCUAGAGUACAGGAGAGGAAGGCGGAAUGCCUGGUGUAGCGGUGAAAUGCGUAGAGAGUAGGAAGAACACCAGUGGCGAAGGCGGCUUUCUGGACUGAAACUGACGCUGAGGCUCGAAAGCGUGGGGAGCGAACAGGAUUAGAUACCCCUGUAGUC